rnacentral:tRNA from 1 species
GGAGAGGUGCGAGAGUGGCCGAAUCGGAUCGCCUGCUAAGCGAUUGUAGACCAAAAGUCUACCGAGGGUUCGAAUCCCUCCCUCUCCG